rnacentral:lncRNA from 1 species
UUCAAUUGAGUCUCAACAGCCCUCGGACGUUUCCGCCGUCUGGUUCGGGGGUGUGACAGGUUGGUAUCAGAGCUUUGUUUAUAGUGAACUAGCAUAUCUAGCCACACAUUGAUAUGCAACUAUAAACCAAAAGAGGGACUAACACAACUCUGAACAAAACAAGUAAAACAUAACAAUAAAACACCCUUUCUUGCAUUAGAAAUAAGAACAUAACGCCAAACCAAACAAGAUAACGCUAGUAUCCCGGUUAAUUCAGGAGUGUUCUUAGCGGUAUCAAGGAGUGGAUGGGGCCUAAUCAACUACAUUCCCUCCAAGGUAUAACUAACACAUUUUCUGAUGAGAUUGCGAUAGCUAGGGAACUUAAAAACAAACCCCUUUAUCACCAAAAAGCGAAGAACACCUGCAUAGCCUAUACAAUAGUUGUAGCAUCCUAGGAAUAAUGUUAGCAUAUUUACACACACUCGCAGACAGCAUGGCUGGUUUUCAUCACCCCAGAGAUCCUUACUUCCCUAACCAGGGAAAUAACGGAUGGUUAGACGAGGCGCCUGAGGAAGACCCCGAAGAGGAAUCUGACGGGGAACGGGAGGCAGGAGUCAAGGGCGAGCCCGCCAAUCCAGAAGAGGAACAGGAGGAGGAAGAAGAUGAAGGAAACUUCGAGGAGGAACCCGAUGACAGUGAAGGGGGUGAUUUGGACGCAGAGUCUGAGGUCAUCGACCCCCCUUACCCGAUCAGGGUGCCUGCUUACCGGGUGGGCCCCACUGGUCCUACACCUCCCUGGGGUAUUGAUCUCUGGAGAUGGAGCAGACAGCAGGGACAACGACCCCCGUACGGCAUGUCACACGAGUUCUUUGACUUGCGGGACAGAGGACCGGCAGAUCGAGCCCUUCCAGUCAUGGUGAAACGGUUACGGAACACUGGCGACCUUGCUCAGAGCACUGCCGACCAGGUACGCCAGUUGUGGACUAGGGUCGAGCGUGCAGAACAGGAGACAUGUGACGUUCUUCGAGAGUUUCACAUGAGGCAGGCGAGGUGGGAAUCUCGACUCCAGGACGCAGAAUGACAGGUGGCUCGUCUUCAGGGAGCAUCCACAUCCUCGGCACCACCCCCGGGCACAUCUCAUCGUGACUAGAGAUAGACUUAUCUUACUAGGUCAUUAGGAACUAUGCUAUGUACCCCGACUCUAUGUUUAAGUGACUACACUACUCAUAGAGCCGUUAUGCUGUCGAACUAGUGCCACUCAUGUAUGCUCUUAUGAGCAAAAUUUUCAUGUACCAAAUGUGGAUAAUAUUAGUAAACUUUUACGUGCUUUGUUAUGAUAUUACAAAUUGCUAUGUGUUGCGAAUCUAUGAUUGUAUGCUACAUGAUAGAAGUACUUAAGUUCAUGCCAUACACCUAGUUAGUAGGAUCACAACCACACGGAAGCCACGCACACUCAACAUCUUUUUGUUUCAUGAUAGAAAGAUGCCUCACCGACCUACUCGCGGAAACCCUGGACCAACCCCACCCGAAGUUGACUCAGCCGCAUUCCAGGCAGCGGUCUCUGCUGCGGUCACUGCAGCGAUGGCACAAAUUCAUCAAGGGAACAACGGAGGAGUCAACAGGCAAGGGGUCGGGAGUUCAAACAACGGAAUGAAUCAAGGACCCACCAAAACAUGUACCUACAAGGACUUCACGAACGCCAAACCACAAACCUUUAACGGCACCGGAGGAGUGAUCACUCUGAAACAAUGGAUCGAGAAGGAGGAAUCGGUAUUUGAGAUAUACGACUGUCCGGAGAAAAUGAAGGUGAAGUUUGCAGCAUGCACUUUCAUUGAUCAAGCGCUCACUUGGUGGAACGGACACGUGGAAUCCAUGACACUCCCUAUAGCCAACUCCAUGCCGUGGUCGGAAAUGAAAGAAAUGUUGAUGGCUGAAUACUGCCCACGAGGUGAGAUUCAGAAAAUGGAGCAAGAGCUGUGGAACCUCACUGUGCGGAAUGCGGAUAUCGAUGCCUACAUAUCGAGAUUUAGUGAACUAUCUCUGUUAUGCCCGGGUAUGAUCACCUCGGAAGGAAAGAAGAUUGAGCGAUUCAUCUGGGGACUAACCUCUCCGAUCCAAGGAAAUGUGAUAGCUGCAAACCCCGAAACCNGAAACUUUCGACAAUGCUAAAAGAUUGGCAAAGAAGCUGUAUGACCACAACAAUAAGAAGGGGGAGAAGCCAACGGAGACUGAGGCGAAGAAGGAAAGUGAUGGCAAGAAAGGGAAAAACAACAAAAGGAAGGGGCGUCAAGGCUCCGAGACUUCUAAGUAGUAGCAGACAGUGGAGGUUAAUGCUGCCACCGCGCAAGUCCCAGCUACACCACAUGCUCCAGCCUUAGCUGCCCCAAAUGCUCCUAGACCUUAUUCCGGUAGUCUUCCCAAAUGCAACAACUGUGGUUUCCAUCACAACGGAGAAUGCAAGGAGUUGCAGUGCACCAGUUGCAAUCGGAAGGGACACACGGCGAGGUACUGCAGGACCUACCCUCCUCAAAAUCAACAAUAGGGAAACAACAACAACCACCGCAACAACAACAACAUCAAUGCUGGGGGCAACAACGCCGGUCCUAGCCACACAUGUUAUGGGUGCGGAAGGACAGGGCAUUUUCGUCGCGAUUGCCCUAACAACAACAAUCCCGGAAAUGGAGGAACGAGAAGGGUGCUAUCCAUGGGUCAGGGGGAAGCAAUUCAGGAUCCCGCAGUUGUUACCGGUACGUUUCCCCUAAACCACACUUAUGCAUGCAUCCUAUUUGACACCGAAGCCGAGCGAAGUUUUGUGAGCAAUAAGUUUAAACAUUUAUUAAAACAACAACCCCAGAAGCUCAAUGAAACCUUUACGGUGGAAAUGGCCAAUGGGAAAACCGAAUCCACUGGGGAAAUCUACACCGGAUGUACCCUAACCUUAAAUCAACACGUCUUUCGAAUAGACUUAAUGCUUGUAUCCAUUAGGAGUUUCGAUGUGAUUAUUGCAUGGACUGGUUAAGCCUCUACCAUGCUGAGAUUAUGUGUCACGAAAAGGCCGCUCGCCUUAGCUUUCCUAAUCACGAAACCCUAGUUAUUUACGGAGACAAACCUAGCACGAACCUUCGCCUCAUCUCGUGCAUUCAGGCACAAAAGCGUCUACGAAAGAAAGAUUUGACAUUCCUGGCUCACAUAGUGGAUAAAACCAAGGAAGAGACUAACAUUCAAGAUAUUCCAGUAGCGCGUGAAUUUCCAGACGUAUUUCCUGAAGAUCUUCCUGGAGUACCCCCAGAGAGGCAAGUUGAAUUCCGAAUUGACCUCGUUCCAGGAGCAACCCCUCUCACUAAAUCACCCUACCAGUUAGCUCCCGCUGAAAUGCAGGAACUGUCCAGUCAACUCAGCGAACUCCUGGACAAGGGAUUCAUCCGACCUAGUUACUCGCCAUGGGGAGCUCCGGUCCUGUUUGUCAAAAAGAAGGACGGAUCUUUUAGGAUGUGCAUCGAUUACAGAGAGUUAAAUAAACUCACUGUCAAAAAUCGCUAUCCACUCCCACGAAUCGACGAUCUAUUUGACCAGCUCCAAGGAGCUAGUUACUUUUCUAAGAUAGAUCUACGGUCCGGAUACCAUCAACUCAAAGUCCGGGAAGAGGAUAUUCCUAAAACCGCUUUCCGAACUCGUUACGGACAUUAUGAAUUUGUCGUAAUGCCCUUCGGUCUAACAAAUGCCCCUGCCGCAUUUAUGGAUCUGAUGAACCGAAUCUGUCGACCAUUCCUCGACAACUUUGUCAUUGUCUUCAUUGAUGACAUUCUCGUCUAUUCCCGAAGCGAGGAAGAGCAUGGUCAACAUCUCCGACAAAUUCUAGAAACUCUGCGAUCGGAAAAGCUAUACGCAAAACUCUCCAAGUGUGAGUUCUGGCUCCGUAGUGUGAACUUCAUAGAUCAUAUUGUUAGCCAAGAUGGAAUUCAUGUGGAUCCCUCUAAGGUCAAGGAUGUUGAAGGAUGGGUAGUCCCGACAACACCCACGGAAAUUUGUCAAUUCUUAGGUCUACCAGGUUACUAUAGGAGAUUCAUUCAAAACUUCUCUAAGAUCGCCAAGCCACUUAACUCACUUACACAAAAGGGCGUACCAUUCAAAUGGACGAACAAACAAGAGGUUGCAUUCCGAACCCUGAAGCAAGCCCUCUGUAGUGCCCCGGUACUAUCUCUACCGGAGGGAACGGAAGAUUUCGUGGUCUACUGUGACGCGUCAAAUCAAGGCUUAGGUUGCGUUCUCAUGCAGCGUGGAAGAGUGAUAGCUUACGCAUCCCGCCAACUAAAGACGCACGAAGUGAAUUAUACAACCCAUGAUCUGGAAUUGGGAGUCGUGGUCUUUGCUCUGAAGAUUUGGAGGCAUUACCUUUAUGGUAUGAAGUGCACCAUCUUCACGGACCACAAAUGUCUCCAGCAUAUCUUGAAUCAAAAAGAGCUGAAUAUGAGACAAAGAAGAUGGGUCAAAUUAUUAAACGAUUAUGAGUGUGAAAUCAAGUACCACCCGGGCAAGGCCAACAUGGUAGCUGACGCAUUGAGCCGGAAGGAGUACUCUAAUCGUAGUGCGAAAACUCUCUCGAUAACCAUCCAAUCUCACCUAACCACCAGGAUCGGAGUAGCCCAGUCAGAUGCCAUGAAAAUGUAAAACAGAGCAAGCGCAGCUCUACGCGGAAUGGAAAAGAAUCUAGAGGUGAGAGAGAACGGAGUGUACUAUUUCAUGAACCGUAUUUGGGUCCCUAAACUCGGAGGAUUUAGGGAGGUAGUCAUGAAGGAAGCUCACAAGACGCGAUACUCCAUCCAUCUUGGUUCGGACAAGAUGUAUUUAAAUGUUAAACAAUACUAUUGGUGGCCUAACAUGAAGGCAGAGAUUGCCACCUACGUCGGUAAGUGCCUUACUUGUGCCAAGGUAAAGGUGGAGUACCAGAAGCCCUUGGGGUUAUUACAGCAACCGGUGAUCCCUGAGUGGAAAUGGGAAGGGAUUUCUAUGGAUUUUGUGACUAAGCUGCCCAAGACACCGGAUGGGCUAGACACCAUAUGGGUAAUAGUCGACUGCCUGACGAUAUUUGCUCAUUUUCUGCCAAUAAAAGAAUCCUACAAGAUGGAAAGGCUGACGCGUUUAUACAUUCGAGAAAUCGUGAGACUCCAUGGAGUACCAGUGUCUAUUAUCUUGGAUAGAGACAGUAGGUUCACUUCACGUUUUUGGCAAUCACUCCAGAAAGCACUUGGAAUCCAUCUCGACAUGAGCACCGCUUACCACCCACAAACGGAUGGUCAAAGCGAACGAACCAUUCAAACGCUCGAAGACAUGCUUCGCGCAUGUACGAUAGACUUUGGGAAGUCUUGGGAUACCUACUUACCUUUAGUCGAAUUCUCGUAUAACAACAGUUACCAUUCGAGCAUCAAGGUCGCUCCUUUCGAAGCACUGUACGGGCGUAAGUGUAGAUUACCGUUUUGUUGGGCUGAGGUGGGCGACACCUAGCUAGCAAAGGCACUCACAUCGGACAAGGCACUAACGGGACCGGAGAUCAUUCGUGAAACCACAGAAAAGAUAGUUCAAAUCAGCACUUGAUUACAAGCAUCGCGCGACCGACAAAAGAGCUACGCCGAUAAACGGCGAAAUCCCUUAGAGUUUCAGGUCGGGGAUCGAGUACUGUUAAAAGUCUCACCUUGGAAGGGAGUCAUUCGUUUCGGAAAACGGAGAAAACUGAACCCACGAUACAUUGGACCUUUCGAGAUCGUCGCCCGAAUAGGUCCAGUGGCGUAUAAACUGCAACUACCCGCAGAACUAAACAGUGUGCACCCCGUAUUCCAUGUCUCUAAUCUAAAGAAAUGCCUAUCAGAUGAAACACUUGUCAUUCCCCUUGACGAGAUCGAAAUCAACGAGAAUCUCCUGUUCGUUGAACAAAAGGUCGAAAUCAUGGACAGGGAGGUGAAGCGCACUAAACAAAGCCGCAUCCCGAUCGUGAAAGUACGGUGGAACGCGAAGCGUGGGCCAGAAUUCACGUGGGCACGCGAAGAUCAAAUGAAGCAAAAGUACCCUCACCUAUUCUAGCAUUCUCAAAUCUAGCUUUCAAAAGAAUUUCUGGACGAAAUUCCCUUUAACGGGGGGAUGAAGUCACAAUCAGAAAUUUUUGUGCCUUGUAACUACAAUACUUAAGUCAAAUUAUGAAUCCAAAAACAUAAGAGCAUGUAUGAUGCUUAUUCUAUAGCAACAAAAUUUCAAUCAAAUACACCGUACAAGCAUUACAAAUAGUCAACAAUGCAAUUGGAAACCCUAGAAGUUCUUGUUUAGGUCCAUUUUGGUCUAGGACUUCCUUAUUGGGCACAAUGGACCAAUAAGCUUCCAAUUUGACCAUCUAGGGCUUAGAACUCUUAAAUGGGCCCUAAUUAGACCCACUUCCAAUUAUUUCAACAUUUUGGGCCAUAUUGGGCCUAGAAUGAAAUAAAUCAAUUAUAUGAACCAUUUUGGGCCAUAUUUAACCUAAUGUAGCCCAAAUAGGUCAUAAGAAUAAUAUUUAUGGUUAUUUGGACCAAGCACCACUUAACAUAAACAUGAAAAAGGCUUAAGCAUGCAAGGCCCAAAUUCUUUUCUCUCCCUCUCUAAUUCUCGGCCCAAGCCCAUGUAAAAAGGGAGAGUUGACUUUCAUGGCCACCUCAUUUUUACAUAUUGGGUUUCCAUGCAUCUUAUCUCAUAUUUCCAUGCAGAUAUCACUUCAAGAUCUAUCUCUUUCUCUCUCUUGCUCUCGGCCGAUUUCAAGCACACAUACAUACAUUUCACUUACCUUUUUCUCUCAAGAAACUCUCUCAUUUCUCCCCCAAAAUUUCGAGAUCUAAGGACCUUUCAAGGAGAUAUCUCCACAAAUUCUUCACCUAAGGUAAGAUCAAGUUUGGAUCUAUGAUUUUGGUACUUUGUUUUAUCAAAAAUCUUCUUCUAAUCCAUGUAAAAACCUUGAUCACUCUCCUAUGAACUCUCUAAGUUCGAGAUCUUCCAAGGAGAGGUACUAAGGCCAAACUUUCUUCUGAAUUCUUCUAAAGGCCGAAACCACACCCAAAGGUGAGCUUCAUACCCCCUNUUAUAAGUUUUGUGGGGGGGGAAUACAAGCAAAUGUGUAGAUCUAUGAGUAUAUGUAUGCUUUGUGUGAUUUCUAUGCUUGUAUAUAUGUUCUUAUGUGAUUGUGGUGUUGGAUCUAGUCAAAAAGACCUUAAAACCGAGAUGUAUAAAUUAUAUUAUUUCACACAAAUCAUUUCUAGAAAAAUAACCAAGUUGGUUAAUAUGAACAUCUUUGGGCUUAAAACCCAUUUUUGGACUCAAAAUGCUAAAAAUAUAAAACUAAAGGGCCCAAAAUGUCAAAAUACAAAUUCUGAGGGAUGAAAUGAGUCAAAACAGUUUCAAAAAUGUAUUUCCUGGAAAUUUACCCUUUUGAAGGAUUAAAAUGUGAAUUUUUAAACAUAAUGGGCCAAAAAUGAACUUUUCGGCCCAAUAAAGCCCAAAUUGCGAGAUUUUCAAACUAGAGUGGCUGAAACUGCACUUUUCUUUAAAACAAGGGACUACUAGUGUACCAAUUCCAUUUCAAGGGUUAAAAAUACUUUUCAAAUUUAAGAGGGACCAAAAAUGCAAAAAAUCUCCAUUUUGGGUCAAAAUUGUAAAAAUUGCGAAAUUAGAGGUUUCAACCGAGAAAACUUCACUUUGAGGGACUAAAACUAUUUUUCCAGUAAAUUUGAGCUGAAAGUUACCUUUUCAACAAGUGUUGAUACUAAAGUGUCAAGAAAAAUGGCUUAAGGACUAAAAUGGAAAUUCUUUUAUACAAAGGGUAAAAAGUGUAAAUUUAUACAAGAAAAGGGCUUCAAAAAGAAAAAUUCUAAGGUUUUAAACAAUAGAUCCUUUAUGACAAAAUACUAGUACCACGAUUAUCGACGAAAUAUAAUAGACCUUCAACACGAAAAUCGUUACCAAACGAAUUGAUUCGGUCUCGAAUCAAUAACGAAUCAAAAAUCUAAACACGACGAUACUCCAAUACACACGCGGAAAUUACGGGAAGUCAAUACACACGUGGGAACUCACCAGACGUCGAUACACCAUCUUUGGGCCCGAAAGUUUCAAAUCGUGCUUGUUGGGCCUAGCUAGCCCAAUGACAUGAUCUUUAGGCCCGAAGGAAACGCGCUUACCUGAUAUUGGGUCGUAUACAACCUAAUACCAUGUAAAAGGACUUUCAAUAGCUCAUGUGUUGUUGGGCCCCAAGGGUCCUUUGGCACUGCUAGCAAAGUCGAGAAUUCACAAAUGCGAUUCGGGCCAAGGGCCUUUCGCAUUCACGAUAGCCUUUAACGACACGUGUAAUUAACGGGGGCUUCGCACCCUCUUUUCUUCUUAGGUUGUGGGGCUAGGGGAAGUCAGGGUGGUUGGAUUAGGUGAGUAGUACAGACGACGGCUAUGGGUUCGUUUGUAUAGUUGUAAGGUAGCCAUUUUCAUUAAUGCGUGAUUACAACAACUCACCACCCUUAAUUAAUCCAAUGUCAUCUAGAAUUAUCAAAUACACACGUCACAACGGUAUAACCAGAUAUAAAACGUAUUUGUUAAAGUAUUAGGAAAACAUCGGGUUUUCCUAGGGAUUUCAACUCUUACACCUACGUGAUGCAUACCAAGUAUAACAAUUUUUCACACUUAUAGAAAUAAACAAGCAUACUUACGGAUCUUCACGCUUUUUCUUACUUAUAAUAACCUUUUCAGAAAAUAUCGGAUUUUCUGGUGGCUUUUCAAAAUCAUACAAAACAUUAUGUUUUGAAACAUUACUUAUGAACUCACCAACAUUUCAUAUGUUGACGUUUUUCAAAAUACUUGUAUUCUCAGGUAACAGGUAAAUUGAAGGGAAAAAUGUACUCAGUGAUGUCUCGUUGUUUGUUUAACUAGUAUCGAACAAUCUACUUUUUGGGAAUGUAAUGUUAUGAAACAAUGUACUAAAUGUAAACACUACCAGUUGUACUAUUUCAAUGCAUGGUGAUGAAUGAUGUUAUGUUUCAUGUAUAUUCACUGUGAUGGUAUUCAAUUGAGUCACAACAGCCCUCGGACGUUUCCGCCGUCNCGGGGGUGUGACAGCAUUUUUUAAAGAAAUGUAUUUUUCAUUUUAUUACAAUACUCGGGAUGUCAUGUUCCGAUAAACAGACCAAAAGCAUAAACAUUUAAAUAUAGACCUUACAACAGUUAUUUACAACAACAGGUCUAUAAUCCAAAAUUAACUUGACAAGUCAUCCAACUUAUGCUCUGGCGCCACUACCUGUAAUACAAAGAAACUUAGUGGGUCAGGUUUGGGAGCCUGAUCAGCAUAUAGGGUUUUCAACCCAC